AAUAGUACGUUUCUGAAAAAUAAUUGGGAAAGUAGUACGUGUGCUAUUCACAAUUGGGAAAACCCCACUUUUCACUGUGCUCCAACUGUUUCGAAGACAUUGUGACCCUCACAUAUUCUUUAUAUUUACGACAGUGCCAUUGACAUAUUUACACUCUAAAAAAGAAUAUAAAAAUAGUUUUUCUUUUCCUUCUUUCUCUCCUCAUCUUCUCCAUCGUUCAUUUUCUAAUCUCCAUUGAUGAGACCUCUAAGUGGCGUACCUUCGCUAAUGAAUCUUUCAACAGUGAUCCCAAUCGUGUCGGUUAUCCAACCAAUCCGCUUCUCGCCGAUAGUGAUCUAACCAUUGUUAUCGCUUAGUCCAAUGGUUCCUCCGGUGAUUUCUUGUCUUCUUCUCUCGGGAGGUGGCAGAAUUGGAACUCCAAUUCCGAUCGUGUUUUGAUUCAAGCGUUUAAAACCUUUCCUACCAUGUCUAAAAGUUUCCCUUGGAGAGUGAUUUUUGUAUGGACUUGCUUUAAUUUAUCACGCAAAUCUACGGUGGUGAUAGCUCUGGUGAUUGGAGGCAACGGUAUACCAGUUUCGCCGGAAGUAGCUAACGGUUUGAAGAAUGAUGAAGCUUACGGUGUCGUUUUGAUGAGAGUGGUGAUUUUAGGGAGGCUCCGAUGGAAAGCUGGUGCGAUUAAGACUGGACGGUAUGGAUUUUAUGCAAGGUGUGAUGUGUGGUUGAGAUUUAA